rnacentral:tRNA from 1 species
AUUUAUAUAGUUUAAAUAAAACCUUACAUUUUCAUUGUAAAAUUAAAACUCUAGUUUUUAUAAAUA